rnacentral:rRNA from 1 species
GAGCUCACUGCGGUAUACGGGAUAGGGAUUGGGCGAGAGCAGAGGGAGCCUGCGUCGGCCGGCGGCUUAGCUUAGGGCGGGCGCCCGAGUAGACGGAGCGGUACCGGCUACUUGCGCAGCCGACGCCGGCGCAGGGAGAGGGUUGCCGCCGUAACUACCUCCCUCGUCGACCGCGACCGGUUCGACGGCUAGCUACCUGCGCGGCCCGCAGUGAGGAGCCCAGGUCGGGGAGGGAGAGGGACGUAGAGAGGGACAGAGGAGGUGCUCGACGUGCCUUCAUGCAUGUACGUAGGAACACUCCUUCUAACUAGCCCUACCUCUUUAGUCCGCUGCGCCUUGGUGUGGUUCGAGGUUAUGAUAGCGGAGCACACAACGGACGAGGUGGAGGAAUGCCUAUACGACGAAGAAUAGUACAGGGUCGGCGACCACGAUGGUUAGGUUCACAAGUAGGUAAGACCAGAUAAAGAAACCUAUUAAAUACCUCCAGCACCAAGACCAUAAACAUACAUAAGUGUUUAACAAGUGUUCCGGACCUCCUUUAUUAUCCCUCCUAACCUCUACGUGGCCCGUACGGUACCGUUGCUUUGUUUUCGAAUAAUGAAGUUAAGUUAAUACGUUCAACUUCUUCCAUGUUUGAUAAUUGAGGCUAGAAGAUUACGAAGGAAAGAAAAAAAAUUACACCAAACCGAGCUGUUUGUUAUAAAAGAAACACCGUAUGACGUGAUCGAGAUUAAACUCAUGAAGUUAAGUUGAAUUUCAUUGAAUAAAAGAUUGUGAAUUAUUACUCGAGUGUCUACUAUCUUCGUCUUUUUUUUAUGAACCGGUUUAUAGUAAAUUGGUCUAUAACAUGUAACAUCUUAGUCAUCAGAUAGAGUGAAGUAAGAACAAUCUUGGACGUAUUCUAAAACAUACACUACGAAAACAAAUAAGUUAGUUCACUUUAUUCCCGAUGUUGUUCUCUAGUGGUAAUCCAAUAGUACUUGGUCGUUUUACCCAUAUUCUUCGAUAUAAGUUCUUUUCUAUAAAACGAGUAAGAAAUGGGUCUCGUUUAUAUUUCAGCGUAUGCUUGUAGACUUUGAUUCUUGAGUUGUUUAUCUAGUCAUAUAAGGUACAAUUCAUAUGUUGAGUGUUUAUCUGUAAAGGUCACUCUUUUAUAAUUGAUAAAGAUUUUACAGCACUGUUCAACAAAAAAAACAUCUUAAAAUACGAGAACGACAAUAGAAUCGGAGUGUCCUAACAUAUAAAACUACCUUAUAUCAUUCUAAAAGAAUAUUAGUGCUCAAGAAAAUAUUAACCUACUCUUCUAUUGUAGAUCGCGUAGUUAAUUCUUAAUGGGUAUAAUUAUGGAGCUUGUCCCUACGUACAUAAACUAGAAAGGACGACUCUAAGUCACAAAGGAUAGCCUCCAGACUUAAACGUAUACACCCCGGAGAGUCAAUCUAACAUUCAUAUGAUUAGUAAGACAUUGAUUCCAACACGGUAUAUAGAUCUUGACAUCUUAUAGAAGGUGUAUACAAGUAAGUCCCUGGAAUCUUUAAGUGAUAACUCCCAAGUAACGGUUCUUCCGUUGAGUAGAGAAGCCGUAACUUAAAUAAACCUCACAACGUUAAUAGCGUUACGAGUCACUGUUGAUGGUCCCAGUACUUCUUCAGGAUCGAGUUGUUACCGAGGCACUCGAGAUUGUCCACACCACCCGACGGUUGCUGGAUGUGUAUCAUAACGAAUUUAGCCGACGUUAGUGAUCUAAGAGCAGUGAUUGAGACACUUGACCAUCUUUCACCAGUGCAACCCUUUCCUCAUUUGCCUUACGAUGAUUUUAUCACCCGGAAACCCGUUGUGGAUUUCGUAACGUUAUUCGAAGACUAUUCUUAAAGCAUGUUCUUAUCCACGAACAUUUAUACAACUUAACAAGUACCACCUCAACAACAUGUCAGAGGGUUGUCGUUACUAAAUGUUCCGAGUUCCCUGAUAUAUUUCCGGUUUGUGAACCUUAAGUUUGUUCGAUCCAGGUUUUACCAUUGAAACUCAAUAAUAAAUACAACAAACCGACCGAAUAAACUACGGCUUCAACAUACUCCUAUGCACACAAAAUUUUAAAACGAUAACCUAAAGUGAAAAAAAGAAAUAGAGACAGUUAAGAGGAAAACUCUCGUAUUAAUGAUAUUAAACAGAUACCUGGUUUCCCAAGCUAG